rnacentral:rRNA from 1 species
AAUGAACGCUGGCGGCAUGCCUAACACAUGCAAGUCGAACGAAGGCUUCGGCCUUAGUGGCGCACGGGUGCGUAACGCGUGGGAAUCUGCCCUUGGGUUCGGAAUAACAGUUAGAAAUGACUGCUAAUACCGGAUGAUGUCGUAAGACCAAAGAUUUAUCGCCCAAGGAUGAGCCCGCGUAGGAUUAGCUAGUUGGUGAGGUAAAAGCUCACCAAGGCGACGAUCCUUAGCUGGUCUGAGAGGAUGAUCAGCCACACUGGGACUGAGACACGGCCCAGACUCCUACGGGAGGCAGCAGUGGGGAAUAUUGGACAAUGGGCGAAAGCCUGAUCCAGCAAUGCCGCGUGAGUGAUGAAGGCCUUAGGGUUGUAAAGCUCUUUUACCCGGGAUGAUAAUGACAGUACCGGGAGAAUAAGCUCCGGCUAACUUCGUGCCAGCAGCCGCCGUAACAC